GGGCAAUUAGCUCAGUUUGGUUUAGAGCGUCUGUUUUACAAGCAGAGGGUCACUGGUUCGAAUCCAGUAUUGCCCA
rnacentral:tRNA from 1 species